AGUGAACGCUGGCGGUAGGCCUAACACAUGCAAGUCGAACGGCAGCACAGCAGUAGCAAUACUGUGGGUGGCGAGUGGCGGACGGGUGAGGAAUACAUCGGAAUCUACCUUUUCGUGGGGGAUAACGUAGGGAAACUUACGCUAAUACCGCAUACGACCUUAGGGUGAAAGCGGAGGACCUUCGGGCUUCGCGCGGAUAG
rnacentral:rRNA from 1 species